rnacentral:rRNA from 2 species
GACGAACGCUGGCGGCAUGCCUAAUACAUGCAAGUCGAACGAACCAUCCUGAAGAUUGAAGCUUGCUUCAUGAUUCAGACCUUGGUGAGUGGCGGACGGGUGAGUAACACGUGGGUAACCUGCCCAAAAGUGGGGGAUAACAUCUGGAAACAGGUGCUAAUACCGCAUAACAACUACUUUCUCAUGAUCGUAGCUUGAAAGAUGGCUCUGCUAUCGCUUUUGGAUGGACCCGCGGCGUAUUAGCUAGUUGGUGAGGUAAUAGCUCACCAAGGCAAUGAUACGUAGCCGACCUGAGAGGGUAAUCGGCCACAUUGGGACUGAGACACGGCCCAAACUCCUACGGGAGGCAGCAGUAGGGAAUCUUCCACAAUGGGCGAAAGCCUGAUGGAGCAAUGCCGCGUGAGUGAAGAAGGUUUUCGGAUCGUAAAACUCUGUUGUUGAAGAAGAACAUGCGUGAGAGUAACUGUUCACGUACUGACGUAUUCAACCCAGAAAGCCACGGCUAACUACGUGCCAGCAGCCGCGGUAAUACGUAGGUGGCAAGCGUUGUCCGGAUUUAUUGGGCGUAAAGAGAAUGUAGGCGGUUUAUUAAGUUUGAAGUGAAAGCCCUCGGCUCAACCGAGGAAGUGCUUCGAAAACUGGUAAACUUGAGUGCAGAAGAGGAAAGUGGAACUCCAUGUGUAGCGGUGGAAUGCGUAGAUAUAUGGAAGAACACCAGUGGCGAAGGCGGCUUUCUGGUCUGUAACUGACGCUGAGAUUCGAAAGCAUGGGUAGCAAACAGGAUUAGAUACCCUGGUAGUCCAUGCCGUAAACGAUGAGUGCUAAGUGUUGGAGGGUUUCCGCCCUUCAGUGCUGCAGCUAACGCAUUAAGCACUCCGCCUGGGGAGUACGAUCGCAAGAUUGAAACUCAAAGGAAUUGACGGGGGCCCGCACAAGCGGUGGAGCAUGUGGUUUAAUUCGAAGCAACGCGAAGAACCUUACCAGGUCUUGACAUACCAUGAAAAGCUAAGAGAUUAGUCUUUCCCUUCGGGGACAUGGAUACAGGUGGUGCAUGGUUGUCGUCAGCUCGUGUCGUGAGAUGUUGGGUUAAGUCCCGCAACGAGCGCAACCCUUAUUAUCAGUUGCCAGCAUUCAGUUGGGCACUCUGGUGAGACUGCCGGUGACAAACCGGAGGAAGGUGGGGACGACGUCAAAUCAUCAUGCCCCUUAUGACCUGGGCUACACACGUGCUACAAUGGUCGGUACAACGUGCUGCGAACUCGCGAGGGUAAGCAAAUCACUUAAAACCGAUCUCAGUUCGGAUUGUAGGCUGCAACUCGCCUACAUGAAGCUGGAAUCGCUAGUAAUCGCGGAUCAGCAUGCCGCGGUGAAUACGUUCCCGGGCCUUGUACACACCGCCCGUCACACCAUGAGAGUUUGUAACACCCAAAGUCGGUGGGGUAACCCUUCGGGGAACUAGCCGCCUAAGGUGGGACAAAUGAUUAGGGUGAAGUCGUAACAAGGUAGCCGUAGGAGAACC